rnacentral:rRNA from 1 species
UACGAAGGACCCGAGCGUUAUCCGGAUUCAUUGGGUUUAAAGGGUGCGUAGGCGGAAUGAUAAGUCAGUGGUGAAAUCCUGCAGCUUAACUGCAGAACUGCCAUUGAUACUGUCGUUCUUGAAUACAACUGAUGUGGGCGGAAUGUGCCAUGUAGUGGUGAAAUACUUAGAUAUGGCACAGAACACCGAUUGCGAAGGCAGCUCACAAAAUUGUCAUUGACGCUGAUGCACGAAAGCGUGGGGAUCAAACAGG